rnacentral:rRNA from 1 species
GAGUUUGAUCAUGGCUCAGAUUGAACGCUGGCGGCAUGCCUUACACAUGCAAGUCGAACGGCAGCAUGAUCUAGCUUGCUAGAUUGAUGGCGAGUGGCGAACGGGUGAGUAAUACAUCGGAACGUGCCCUGUAGUGGGGGAUAACUAGUCGAAAGAUUAGCUAAUACCGCAUACGACCUGAGGGUGAAAGUGGGGGACCGCAAGGCCUCAUGCUAUAGGAGCGGCCGAUGUCUGAUUAGCUAGUUGGUGGGGUAAAGGCCCACCAAGGCGACGAUCAGUAGCUGGUCUGAGAGGACGAUCAGCCACACUGGGACUGAGACACGGCCCAGACUCCUACGGGAGGCAGCAGUGGGGAAUUUUGGACAAUGGGGGCAACCCUGAUCCAGCAAUGCCGCGUGUGUGAAGAAGGCCUUCGGGUUGUAAAGCACUUUUGUCCGGAAAGAAAUCGCACUUACUAAUAUUAGGUGUGGAUGACGGUACCGGAAGAAUAAGGACCGGCUAACUACGUGCCAGCAGCCGCGGUAAUACGUAGGGUCCAAGCGUUAAUCGGAAUUACUGGGCGUAAAGCGUGCGCAGGCGGUUGUGCAAGACCGAUGUGAAAUCCCCGGGCUUAACCUGGGAAUUGCAUUGGUGACUGCACGGCUAGAGUGUGUCAGAGGGGGGUAGAAUUCCACGUGUAGCAGUGAAAUGCGUAGAGAUGUGGAGGAAUACCGAUGGCGAAGGCAGCCCCCUGGGAUAACACUGACGCUCAUGCACGAAAGCGUGGGGAGCAAACAGGAUUAGAUACCCUGGUAGUCCACGCCCUAAACGAUGUCAACUAGUUGUUGGGGAUUCAUUUCCUUAGUAACGUAGCUAACGCGUGAAGUUGACCGCCUGGGGAGUACGGUCGCAAGAUUAAAACUCAAAGGAAUUGACGGGGACCCGCACAAGCGGUGGAUGAUGUGGAUUAAUUCGAUGCAACGCGAAAAACCUUACCUACCCUUGACAUGCCACUAACGAAGCAGAGAUGCAUUAGGUGCUCGAAAGAGAAAGUGGACACAGGUGCUGCAUGGCUGUCGUCAGCUCGUGUCGUGAGAUGUUGGGUUAAGUCCCGCAACGAGCGCAACCCUUGUCUCUAGUUGCUACGAAAGGGCACUCUAGAGAGACUGCCGGUGACAAACCGGAGGAAGGUGGGGAUGACGUCAAGUCCUCAUGGCCCUUAUGGGUAGGGCUUCACACGUCAUACAAUGGUGCAUACAGAGGGUUGCCAAGCCGCGAGGUGGAGCUAAUCCCAGAAAAUGCAUCGUAGUCCGGAUCGUAGUCUGCAACUCGACUACGUGAAGCUGGAAUCGCUAGUAAUCGCGGAUCAGCAUGCCGCGGUGAAUACGU